rnacentral:tRNA from 1 species
GGCAGAGUGGUUAAGUGUGUAGAGCCUAAAGCAAACUGCCUGGGUUCAAAUCCCAGCUCUGCUA